GGCUCAGGAUGAACGCUGGCGGCGUGCUUAACACAUGCAAGUCGAACGAAGCAAUUUUCUACGAUCCCUUCGGGGUGACGGAUUAUUGACUGAGUGGCGGACGGGUGAGUAACGCGUGGGUAACCUACCUUGUACAGGGGGACAACAGUUGGAAACGACUGCUAAUACCGCAUAAGCGCACAGCAUCGCAUGAUGCAGUGUGAAAAGUUUUUUCGGUACAAGAUGGACCCGCGUCUGAUUAGCUAGUUGGUGAGGUAACGGCCCACCAAGGCGACGAUCAGUAGCCGACCUGAGAGGGUGACCGGCCACAUUGGGACUGAGACACGGCCCAAACUCCUACGGGAGGCAGCAGUGGGGAAUAUUGCACAAUGGGCGAAAGCCUGAUGCAGCGACGCCGCGUGAGCGAAGAAGUAUUUCGGUAUGUAAAGCUCUAUCAGCAGGGAAGAUAAUGACGGUACCUGACUAAGAAGCACCGGCUAAAUACGUGCCAGCAGCCGCGGUAAUACGUAUGGUGCAAGCGUUAUCCGGAUUUACUGGGUGUAAAGGGAGCGUAGGCGGUUUUACAAGUCUGAUGUGAAAGCCCGGGGCUCAACUCCGGUAUUGCAUUGGAAACUGUAGAACUAGAGUGUCGGAGGGGUAAGUGGAAUUCCUAGUGUAGCGGUGAAAUGCGUAGAUAUUAGGAGGAACACCAGUGGCGAAGGCGGCUUAC
rnacentral:rRNA from 1 species